rnacentral:sRNA from 1 species
UAACUCUAGGGCAAACCACAACAUUUUCCUUAAUCACAUUUCACUGCAUUGUUUGAGACAAGCUCUCUCACUGUACUCAGACCUCACCUAUCCAGCCAGAUUGGGCAGCAAACCCUGUCUCCAUCUUUACAGACAUUGGUUGCCACAUCUUUCUUCUGACAUGGGUGCUGGGGACACUUACACCGCAAGUGAUUUUCCCAGGUACAGUCUCAAUGCCUAACAUGAUUGAAUUCUCCCCUUGAUAUUCUAAACAAUCAAAUGCCAACUGCUGACAUACCCUUUUGUCAGAAAAUGGCCACACCUGAGGGCUGGGAGGGUGAGCAUCUCAUUCCUCCUCAGUGAGCAAAUCUGUAUGCAUAGGCUGCACUGGAGUCUCGGAUGUGCCUCGUGGCCAAAGCACCAGGCACGGCAGGCACAGUGGCGGUGCCUCCAGGAUGCUACCACAGGCAAACCCGCAACAGCUUUGUGGGAGAGCAAUUUCAACCUUAGAACAAAACCCCAGCAGUAGAAACUCAAGCAAGUUCAACAGAGUAGUCGUAUACAAUGUAACAUAUCAACAUACACCCCAGGCAUGGAAGAAUCCAACUUUUCCCCUAAUGAAAACCCACAUUUCCUAUAAAAGCUUAGGCCAUGGAACGUAAGAACUUACCUGGCAGAAGGGAUUGUGGGUAACAGUUUGUUUUUACUUUUGAACCCUUGUCACCUAACUGCCUCCCUCCCUCCUGACCUUCCGGCUCCAGCAGGAGUUGUUCACAUGUCUCUCCUGCAGGGGGCGCUUGGGCAGGGUUUUACCCUUGUGGCUCAUGGAUCUAGAUUAGGAUACAUCUCUGAAGUGUAGCGAUGCCGAACUCUCCGGACGUGGAGGAGUGAGCCUAACUGGAAGUCGGUCACUGGAGGCAGACCUUGAGGAAUACAGCCCACCAGACAACCUCUCUGCUUCCUGUUCCAUCACAGUGCGAAGACGUAAGGAGUCUCAGUUUAGGCUCUGGCCCCUACGCAUCUUCCCAUGACCAUCCUUUGCCUAAGGAUGGACUGUGCAACCCCAAACUGGGAGCCCAAAGAAAUCAUCCUUAAAGCUGCUUCUGUCAGGAGCCCAUGAGAGACAAAGGAGCCAGGCACGUGGAUGUCUCGUGCAAAGACCUUACAGGUGGGAAAUUUAGAGACCCAAGGAGAGGCAUAGCAUGGCUGUGGUGGCAGAAAUGCACCGUGCACGUUGGGGGCUUCUUCCCCUGCCAGUGGUUCUGGAAACUCCGGGAGGUGGGACCUAUCUAGAGGAAGUACUUCACUGGGGACCGCUUGUUGUCUGCCAUGAUGGAGGGAAGAGCCACACAUCCAUGGAUCGCGCUGUCUGAAACCAGGAUCCCAAAUAAAUGUUUUUUCUCUUUACGUUGUUUCUGUCUAGUAUUUUGUCACAGGGAUUAGGUAGGAAGCAACUAAAAUAAAGACAAAGGCGGGGGUGGGGUGGGGAGACUCCAUUAGAGUGCGAGCCCCAUUAGACUUCCACAAACCAAACAAAGGCUUUGGCUUUGAGAGAGAUGGAAAUCCACUAGGGCGUUUUGAGCUGGCUCAGUCUUUACCUUUCUGGAUUAUAACUAGAGAUUUGUAAUACAUUCGA